UACAGAGGAGCCAAGCGUUGUCCGGAUUGACUGGGCGUAAAGCGCACGCAGGCGGAUGCGCGCGUGGGGUGUGAAAUCUGGCCGCUUAACGGCCAGGCGCCAUCCCAUACGGCGCGUCUGGAGUGAUGCAGAGGUCGAUGGAAUUGCCGGUGUAGUGGUGAAAUGCGUAGAGAUCGGCAGGAACACCCAGGGGGAAACCAGUGGACUGGGCAUGUGCUGACGCUCAGGUGCGAAAGCGUGGGGAGCGAACCGG
rnacentral:rRNA from 1 species